AUAAGCAAGGCAUAUUGCCAAUAUCAGUGGCUUUGUCCAGGAGGGCAGUAACAGCCCCACUGCCCUAACACAUGAGGGGGCACCCCUGGUAACAGGGUCCAAACUGGUGGAGUAGUACGCUAUUGGUCUUUGUUUACCACCAUGGUCCCGUGUAAGGACAGAUGUGGCAUUUUCUGCUGCAUGGGUUAAUUUAAAGGAUUUGUUUUUGUUGGC